GCAGUCGAACGAGAAAGUGGGCUUCGGCCCACGAGUAAAGUGGCAGACGGGUGAGUAACACGUGGGUAACCUACCCGGAGGUGGGGAAUAACUCUUCGAAAGAGGUGCUAAUACCGCAUGAUAUCUCGAGGGCUCGCCUUCGAGAUCAAAGCUAGCCUCUUCAUGAAAGCUAGUGCCACCGGAGGGGCCCGCGGCCCAUUAGCUUGUUGGUGAGGUAACGGCUCACCAAGGCGACGAUGGGUAGCCGGCCUGAGAGGGUGAACGGCCACACUGGAACUGGGACACGGUCCAGACUCCUACGGGAGGCAGCAGUGAGGAAUCUUGCGCAAUGGGCGAAAGCCUGACGCAGCGACGCCGCGUGGAGGACGAAGGCCUUCGGGUCGUAAACUCCUGUCAAGUGGGACGAAUGCCGUGGGGAUGAAUAAGCCCUGCGGUUGACGGUACCACUGAAGGAAGCCCCGGCUAACUCCGUGCCAGCAGCCGCGGUAAUACGGAGGGGGCCAGCGUUGUUCGGAAUUAUUGGGCGUAAAGGGCGCGUAGGCGGCCUGGUAAGUCAGACGUGAAAUCCCUCGGCUCAACCAAGGAACUGCGUUUGAUACUGCCGGGCUUGAGUCCCGGAGAGGGUAGCGGAAUUCCCAGUGUAGCGGUGAAAUGCGUAGAUACUGGGAGGAACACCGGUGGCGAANGCGGCUGCCUGGACGGGUACUGACGCUGAGGCGCGAAAGCGUGGGGAGCAAACANNANUAGAUACCCUGGUAGUCCACGCUGUAAACGAUGGGCACUUGGUGUUGCGGGUAUCGACCCCUGCAGUGCCNAANCUAACGCAUUAAGUGCCCCGCCUGGGGG
rnacentral:rRNA from 1 species